GACGAACGCUGGCGGCGUGCUUAACACAUGCAAGUCGAGCGGGUAAGGCCCUUUCGGGGGUACACGAGCGGCGAACGGGUGAGUAACACGUGGGUGACCUGCCCUCAGCUCUGGGGAUAAGCCUGGGAAACUGGGUCUAAUACUGGAUAUGACUCCACGGUGCAUGUCGUGGGGUGGAAAGCCUUGUGCGGCUGAGGAUGGGGCCCGCGGCCCUAUCAGCUUGUUGGUGGGGGAUGGCCUACCAAGGCGACGACGGGUAGCCGGCCUGAGAGGGCGACCGGCCACACUGGGACUGAGACACGGCCAGACUCCUACGGGAGGCAGCAGUGGGGAAUCUUGCGCAAUGGGCGAAAGCCUGACGCAGCGACGCCGCGUGAGGAUGAC
rnacentral:rRNA from 1 species